rnacentral:rRNA from 1 species
AUUGAACGCUGGCGGCAGGCCUAACACAUGCAAGUCGAGCGGAUGAAGAGAGCUUGCUCUCUGAUUCAGCGGCGGACGGGUGAGUAAUGCCUAGGAAUCUGCCUGGUAGUGGGGGACAACGUUUCGAAAGGAACGCUAAUACCGCAUACGUCCUACGGGAGAAAGUGGGGGAUCUUCGGACCUCACGCUAUCAGAUGAGCCUAGGUACGAUUAGCUAGUUGGUGAGGUAAAGGCUCACCAAGGCGACGAUCGUUAACUGGUCUGAGAGGAUGAUCAGUCACACUGGAACUGAGACACGGUCCAGACUCCAACGGGAGGCAGCAGUGGGGAAUAUUGGACAAUGGGCGAAAGCCUGAUCCAGCCAUGCCGCGUGUGUGAAGAAGGUCUUCGGAUUGUAAAGCACUUUAAGUUGGGAGGAAGGGCAGUAAGUUAAUACCUUGCUGUUUUGACGUUACCGACAGAAUAAGCACCGGCUAACUUCGUGCCAGCAGCCGCCGUAA